UGUCUAUGAAUCAUCCAAGGAAUUAAUAAGAUGAUGAUACAUAUUCUCAAGAGUUGAGAAUUUGAGCCAUGUAUCAUUGGUGAUUAAUUUCUAAAUGCUCCUGAUCAAUGGAUCAUCACGAGGACGGUGAUCGAUCCGGUCAGUGCACAGAUCACUUUCCUUCUGGAUGGACGAGACUCGAGUCCACAGUGUAGGGACACUGAAGUGAUAGUGCUGGUGCUUGUUAGAGAACAAGGGUACUGAGCGUGACCAAGACAAGAAGUCACUUGGAUGUCUAUCUACUCGUCAGUGACUUACUUGAUGUUGCAGUAGU
rnacentral:lncRNA from 1 species